rnacentral:rRNA from 1 species
AAACAUGAGAGUUUGAUCCUGGCUCAGAACGAACGCUGGCGGCAGGCCUCAAACAUGCAAGUCUAGGGGGUGUAGCAAUACAUCACCGGCGGACGGGUGCGUAACACGUGGGAAUGUACCUUUUGGUUCGGAACAACCCAGGGAAACUUGGGCUAAUACCGAAUGUGCCCUAACGGGGAAAGAUUUAUCGCCAAAGGAUCAGCCCGCGUCCGAUUAGCUAGUUGGUGGGGUAAUGGCCUACCAAGGCAACGAUCGGUAGCUGUUCUGAGAGGAAGAUCAGCCACACUGGGACUGAGACACGGCCCAGACUCCUACGGGAGGCAGCAGUUGGGAAUCUUGGACAAUGGGGGAAACCCUGAUCCAGCCAUGCCGCGUGAGUGAUGAAGGCCUUCGGGUUGUAAAACU